rnacentral:lncRNA from 1 species
CACAAUAACACAUCUUAUUUGUUUUCCCUCUAAUUCUAAUUAAAAUUAAAAUAUUACUGAAGAUUUUUUUUUGUAAUUUAAUAGAUUUUUCUAUGCCAAAUUUUUUCGUUACCUGAAGAGCAUAGUAGGCAGCAAAAAUAUUUGGUGAGAGGGCGAAAAAAGUAUGUAUAUAAUAAUAAUGUCUAGAGACGAUCGCAGCCAAUUAGGAAAGGAGCCAAAAGAACUGCGAAUCUUCUACUACACUAAAUAUUUUAGUAUAUUAGAAGAUUCGUGGCUCGAAGCGGAGUUACAUCCUAUUGCCAUUCGUCUACUUGUAACAAGAUUUUUCAUCAAGAAACCUGAAUUAUAUAAAACAAACUGGAUGCUCCAUUUGGCGGGUCAGAUACGCUACGCGACACAGGGACCCAGUGACCUGAUAACUAUUUAAAUAUAAUUGUGUAGUAUUCGACGUUUGGGCAUUUAUUGUUGUUAUUAUUAUUCAGCAGAUAUGAUUGAACUGUAUUUUCAAUACCAGGAUCAUUUUGCCAGUCAGGGAGGUAAACUGCGGCAUAUCCUGCCGGUUGAC